GCAUAAAGCGCGGCACUGAAGUUGCUAAGCAGAGUGAAGCCACCGGCUUUGACAGAAAAGAAUGCAGUGGAGCUGCUGAAACUGACAUAGGAAGCUGGGUAAAAAUAGAGGCGAAUAAAUUUUGGCCCUGGAGUAACCGGUAACGUGUAGGUGAAAUCGGACCGUGAGAGGCGUGCAGUUAUAUAAGGAACUUGAUCGCCAGAGGUAGGAUUUUUAGGAGCUGGGGAUGUUAUUGAUGCGUUGGUUGGAUCCAGGAGGGAGAAUUUCGAAUCGGUGUCUGCAGUCCAGAUUCGACCACCUUCGGCAGUUGGAGCACUAGUAGAGCCACAAUCAAUAGUUAUGUUGCCGAUAAGAGGAGAUGGUGAAUCUCCGGCGGUGAGGAUAGUAAGUUGGUGGAGCAAGAGAAAAAAGUAGAGAACGGCAGAGAUCGAUGGGAUUUGCAGGGGAAGAUAUUUGUUAUUGGUUUUUCUCAUCUUGUGAGAGAAAGAAGAGAAGUGCGGAGAGGAAACAGGUGGUGGAGCAUGCAUAGAAGCUUUUCGUUUUUAGCUAUAUAAAAUAUAUAUAAAAAAAAAAAGUAAAAAUGCAAGGGAUUGACUUCCUUACAGUCGCGAUGAAAGGAAAUUUUUUCUAACCGGAAAGAAAAUGAUAAUACUUUAAUCAUUUCCA